CCUAGAGAGAGGGAGAGAGAGAGAGAUGUGUGUUCUAGAGAGAGAAUGAGAGAAAGAGGAGAAGAAGGAGAAAAAGAAUAAGAAGAAUGGAUCAAUCCUAGGACUUGAACAAAGGGUGAUAUAGUUGAGUAUUGGUCACUUGGGUGUUCUUGAUUUUACAAUCAAGAGAGCAUGAUGAAUGCGACACAACAAAGGGGUUGCUAAGGAUAUGAAGACGUAACCCGAGUUACUAAGGAUGUGAAGGCAUAACUCAUAGGGCGGACGCGUCGAGGUUAUUCAAGGACAAGAGAUCCUGUUUACCUCAAGAUGUGACAUGGACAAGAUAGCGAGCAUGUUCUCAAGUAUAUAAUGAUGGUAGUAAAUAGGAUUUCUCUGUGGCACGCGUGGUGAUGUGGGAAGUUCCAACGUCGGGGUGUGUAUGGCGUGGGGGCAUCCUAUGGACGAGAAACAAUCAAUUUAAACGCCAUUUUCUACAAAAUAAUGUUAUGUUUAUUUUUAACUUUCAUAAGUUAUCACUGGGACUUGAACUUUUAUUAUUUUUGAAACGUUGCAUAAAAACUAUUAUUUUCUUUUUAAACUAUUGAGCCCAACUUGCAUGUUUUCAGCAAGGCCCCACAGAGACUUUUAUAAUAAGUGGCUUUUCUU